GGCGGGGUGGACCAAUGGUAGGUCGGGAGGCUCAUAAUCUCCAGAAGUGGGUUCAAUUCCCACCCCCGCAA
rnacentral:tRNA from 1 species